CCCUGUCUAGCUCAGUCGGUAGAGCGCAAGGCUCUUAACCUUGUGGUCCUGGGUUCAAAGUCCCAAGGUGGGCG
rnacentral:tRNA from 1 species